rnacentral:rRNA from 1 species
CCUACGGGGGGCAGCAGUGGGGAAUAUUGGACAAUGGGCGAAAGCCUGAUCCAGCCAUGCCGCGUGUGUGAAGAAGGCCUUCGGGUUGUAAAGCACUUUCAGUGGGGAAGAAAGCCUUGGGGCUAAUACCCUCGAGGAAGGACAUCACCCACAGAAGAAGCACCGGCUAACUCCGUGCCAGCAGCCGCGGUAAUACGGAGGGUGCGAGCGUUAAUCGGAAUUACUGGGCGUAAAGCGCGCGUAGGCGGUCUGAUAAGCCGGUUGUGAAAGCCCCGGGCUCAACCUGGGAACGGCAUCCGGAACUGUCAGGCUAGAGUGUAGGAGAGGAAGGUAGAAUUCCCGGUGUAGCGGUGAAAUGCGUAGAGAUCGGGAGGAAUACCAGUGGCGAAGGCGGCCUUCUGGACUGACACUGACGCUGAGGUGCGAAAGCGUGGGUAGCAAACAGGAUUAGAUACCCGAGUAGUC